UACGUAGGCAGCGAGCGUUGUUCGGAAUUACUGGGCGUAAAGAGUGUGUAGGCGGUGUUCCAAGUCUGGUGUGAAAUCUCCCGGCUUAACUGGGAGGGUGCGCCGGAAACUGGAAUGCUCGAGGGUGGGAGAGGUAAGCGGAAUUCCUGGUGUAGCGGUGAAAUGCGUAGAUAUCAGGAGGAACACCUGUGGUGUAGACAGCUUACUGGACCACUUCUGACGCUGAGACACGAAAGCGUGGGUGGCAAACAGG
rnacentral:rRNA from 1 species